rnacentral:rRNA from 1 species
UACAGAGGUCUCAAGCGUUGUUCGGAUUCAUUGGGCGUAAAGGGUGCGUAGGCGGCGCGGUAAGUCGGGUGUGAAAUCUUGGAGCUUAACUCCGAAACUGCAUUCGAUACUGCCGUGCUCGAGGACUGGAGAGGAGACUGGAAUUUACGGUGUAGCGGUGAAAUGCGUAGAUAUCGUAAGGAAGACCAGUGGCGAAGGCGGGUCUCUGGACAGUUCCUGACGCUGAGGCGCGAAAGCCAGGGGAGCGAACGGG